GACCGAAAGCGGCGACCAAAGGGGGUGAAUGGGAGCCGUAAAUUUUCUCUCGAAAUAAUUUUGGCCACUGUCCCAAAUCACCGCCAAACACAAAUAAGUACCCGAAACUGAAUUACUCAAGUCAACUGGUGACAAGAGCAAUUAGAUAAAAUUCCUUACAACGAUAGAAGACGAACGCAACUGACGGAAAUCAAAUCGGAGCUCGAACGACCAAAAUACGAGCGAAACAGGAAAUCAAAGAAGAAUAAAUUGGACAGAAAAACACCUAAAAAGACAGACAAGAAAAUCACUUAAAAACACAAGCCUGUAGGCAGGAAAAGAAAACGACUUGAAGUCUCAACCGUGAAUACAGAAACUAAGGAAGUGUUUUACCUCUAGUAAAAAAAUGAUAUUUGUUCUUUGUAAUUCACAGAUUCAAGGACCUGGACCAAUCAAAAAUCACUGACACAGAAAUAAGCAUGAACUAACUGAAAUCCAAUGCUUCCAACAGUACUACUCGAGACGAAAGAGAACAAACUCAAAUCAAACGCAAGCUGGAGAUUCACCAAGCGCUCCCAGAAGAACUGCAUUCCUGCUGAACCAGAUAAGUCACUGCCAGCACUAGAUCAGAGCCGAGAAUGAAAUGGAAAUCAAACCUGCAGGCAGUGGCUGCACUCAUCCACAUAAAGACCUGGUUGGGAACUGCACCAACCUACUGGACCUGACAACGAUUCUUACUAGCUGCAGUAAAGAAGGAACAGAGAGGAACCGAGCGAGUCCAGGACCAAAGACGAGCGCUGCUGUAAUGAGCACGCACGACGCUUGAAGGUCGGCGUUGGUAGCACUGUCGCGGGCCUUGGCUGGGACUGCCCCUGCUGCUCGGCCUCUACUGUCCAACACACGAACAGAAACAAGAAGAUACGAACACGCGAACAGAGGAAAAGGGGUGACCAAAAAAUCGUCCAAAACCAAUCUAAAUCUCCAUGAAACGAACCCAAAUUUUGCACAGACCAAAUUCACCUUAGCACGAACUCAUCCCUAAAAAAUCAUCACCUGGGAUUAAGCCAAACUCUAGAAAAUUUAGAUCGUACCCAAGCACAAAAAAUGGGAAAAACUGCAAAACUCAGUCAAUGAAAAUCAUAAGCACAAGUAAUUGAAUCUCGGAGGACAACUGGAGGAUUUAGGCCUCCAUUCCCAACUCGAAAACCAGUACAAAACACUCCUAAAAAUUUCAGUUCAUAACCCUCUCUACAAAGAAAACAGGAAGGGGGAGCAGAAGGCUACGAAGAACAGGAUGACGGGAGGGAGAGAGCGGUGGAAAAGAGAUAGAGGAGAUGGGGGACUCCCCGGUCACGCAUAUUACAUAUUUCCCAAAUGCCCUCUAGAUAUUUUUGAGUGAAC
rnacentral:lncRNA from 1 species